CCUGAAAGAUCCUCAUCUUGCCACUUAUAACUGUGAAACCUGACUGAAGAGGUCUGCACAGAUAUUCAUUACCCUCCUUAUCAUGGAAAAGCAUGAUGAUCCCUGCCACUACAAGAAUAUGCAUGAAGUGAUCACAAAAUCUUGUUCUAUUGGUAAUAAUAAUUUUGAAUACCUGAAAGUAUGCUAGGCACUUCCUACAAACAAGCAGACAUGGUCCCUCCCCUGCAGAAUUUACAAUCUCCAUUGUCAUAACCUUGAGUUUCCUACAAGACAGGCUCGGAUACCUGCAGCCACCACCAAGCUUCUCACUUGGAAAUUUUACCUCAGGGCCCUUUUCCCCUCUGUUCCCUCUUACAAGGACCCUGCCCUUAGGAGCAGAGCUCCCUGUUGGGUAUGGUCAGUGUUUUUCAAAGGCCGCUGCAGAAAUCACCCUUCACAACAGCUCCACUGCAGAUUGAAUUAACAAACUUGUAAUUUGUUAUUUUCCAUUAAAAUCUAUGAAUUAAUUCCAGUACUGAUCUGAAAGUGCCCACUGUCCUUUUCAAGCCCCCCAAAGUCUUAUUUCAUAUCCCAGUUCAGGCUUCUUUUCCAUAAACCACAGAGUCCAGUGUUCUCUUAAUCUGGUCUCCAUACCGCCCUCUCAGCAGCCCAGACCAUCAUCAUCCCUGAGGAACCGGUCUCAGGAGUCUGAGACACCUUUCUUGGCAACUUCCAUAAGGCCAGACCAAACCACCUACUGCUGGCAAUUCUCCACAUUCUUCCCACCACUGGCCUUUGAACCAAAAUUCCAUAUCAACCCAAUGGGCCUCACAGAGAGUCUAUAGGUUUCAAGCAGCUAUCUGACCUCUACUCAUAUAUUUUAUCUCCCCCAUAGCUCACACCUAAAAUAAUAUAAACACAACAUAUACCCCAGCAUUCUCCACACUGCCUGGCUAAUAAAUCUUAUGAAUUCUAACACAAUCAUCAUUAUAGUACCCAGGAACCAAAACCUACCCUAGAAUUGAGGCCCAUGCCAUUAGAGGUCAGGCAAUAGGAUACAAUUUCAAUUCAGUUUUAUAGUACUUUAUUGGCCUGACAAACUACACAAAUGUUGUCAGUGUAUGAAUACCAAAAAAAAAUUCAAUUAUUUGCCUUGCCAUGCUAAUGAGAAUAUUGUGUAUUAUUUUUACUAUUUACUAUUCAAAGAGUAACAAUAAUUAUUAAGUAUCAAUUACACAACAUGCAACCAUUGCCUACUAAUCAAAUCAAAAUAACUGGACAACGAGAAAUGAGCCUUUUGGUCAAAGUACAGAAAUUUAAAACAGUAUCAUUUUGAUAAAUAAGGUGUUUUAUGACUGGCUUAACCACAAAACAAAUUUGUUCCACAAUCCAACCAAUCCCAGUAAAGUGAGUAAUUCUGACUGUAGUGUAUUAAUGCAGGUCAGAAAAAACAAACAUGUUCUUGAAUUAUCUGUUUCUUCUAUUGUUAUUUUAAUCAACAGGUAACGUGGAAAGGAAGUCACAGGUAUAUAAUGCUAUCAGAAAAUAAAUAUAUCUCCCUUUGAAAACAAAUGCCUCUGCUUCACCAAUCAGAGUUAGCAGUAAGUUGGCUGCCUCCUCUUUGCAUUGGCUUUGAUCCAACAGUGAGAGAGGAUGACUUUGAUCCCCUGUCCUAGUGCACCUACAUCAUUCCAGCCUAAAGAUUUAUUUAUUCAUCUAUCCAUUCAGUCUAACUGCAAUAGAGUAGUAUUCAAACAAGGACUCAAUAUCCGACAGCAGGCAUCCAUGCAGACUACCCUAGCCUUUGGUUCUGUUCUUACUAAGGCCCCAUGUAUUCUGUGGCAAGCUGGACCUAAAUUAUGCAGGAAGAUCCUGGGUUUCUGCAGGGCACUGAUGCAAUAUACUGGAAAUUCUGCAGUAGCUUUAUUUAAAUAUUUUUAAUGGAGAGUUUUGAUUAAUUAAAUGAUACUGAAUAAUCAACUUA